GACGAACGCUGGCGGCGUGCUUAACACAUGCAAGUCGAGCGGUAAGGCCCUUUCGGGGGUACACGAGCGGCGAACGGGUGAGUAACACGUGGGUGACCUGCCCUUAGCUCUGGGAUAAGCCUGGGAAACUGGGUCUAAUACCGGAUAUGACUCCAUGACGCAUGUUGUGGGGUGGAAAGCCUUGUGCGGCUAGGGAUGGGCCCGCGGCCUAUCAGCUUGUUGGUGGGGUGAUGGCCUACCAAGGCGACGACGGGUAGCCGGCCUGAGAGGGCGACCGGCCACACUGGGACUGAGACACGGCCCACGACUCCUACGGGAGGCGAGCAGUGGGGAAGUCUUGCGCAAUGGGCGAAAGCCUGACGCAGCGACGCCGCGUGAGGGAUGACGGCC
rnacentral:rRNA from 1 species